UGGGGAAUAUUGCACAAUGGGCGAAAGCCUGAUGCAGCGACGCCGCGUGAGGGAUGACGGCCUUCGGGUUGUAAACCUCUUUCAGUAGGGACGAAGCGCAAGUGACGGUACCUGCAGAAGAAGCACCGGCUAACUACGUGCCAGCAGCCGCGGUAAUACGCAGGGUGCGAGCGUUGUCCGGAAUUACUGGGCGUAAAGAGCUCGUAGGCGGUUUGUCACGUCGUCUGUGAAAUCCUAGGGCUUAACCCUGGACGUGCAGGCGAUACGGGCUGACUUGAGUACUACAGGGGAGACUGGAAUUUCUGGUGUAGCGGUGGAAUGCACAGAUAUCAGGAAGAACACCGAUGGCGAAGGCAGGUCUCUGGGUAGUAACUGACGCUGAGGAGCGAAAGCAUGGGUAGCGAACAGG
rnacentral:rRNA from 1 species